UGGGUUUGUUUCUUUUGUUGGGAUCCCUA
rnacentral:piRNA from 1 species